rnacentral:hammerhead_ribozyme from 1 species
AUCUAGCGACGAGUUCCAAACAGGACGAAAUGCGCAUUCUGGAU